UCAGGACGAACGCUGGCGGCGUGCCUAAUACAUGCAAGUCGAACGAACUCUGGUAUUGAUUGGUGCUUGCAUCAUGAUUUACAUUUGAGUGAGUGGCGAACUGGUGAGUAACACGUGGGAAACCUGCCCAGAAGCGGGGGAUAACACCUGGAAACAGAUGCUAAUACCGCAUAACAACUUGGACCGCAUGGUCCGAGUUUGAAAGAUGGCUUCGGCUAUCACUUUUGGAUGGUCCCGCGGCGUAUUAGCUAGAUGGUGGGGUAACGGCUCACCAUGGCAAUGAUACGUAGCCGACCUGAGAGGGUAAUCGGCCACAUUGGGACUGAGACACGGCCCAAACUCCUACGGGAGGCAGCAGUAGGGAAUCUUCCACAAUGGACGAAAGUCUGAUGGAGCAACGCCGCGUGAGUGAAGAAGGGUUUCGGCUCGUAAAACUCUGUUGUUAAAGAAGAACAUAUCUGAGAGUAACUGUUCAGGUAUUGACGGUAUUUAACCAGAAAGCCACGGCUAACUACGUGCCAGCAGCCGCGGUAAUACGUAGGUGGCAAGCGUUGUCCGGAUUUAUUGGGCGUAAAGCGAGCGCAGGCGGUUUUUUAAGUCUGAUGUGAAAGCCUUCGGCUCAACCGAAGAAGUGCAUCGGAAACUGGGAAACUUGAGUGCAGAAGAGGACAGUGGAACUCCAUGUGUAGCGGUGAAAUGCGUAGAUAUAUGGAAGAACACCAGUGGCGAAGGCGGCUGUCUGGUCUGUAACUGACGCUGAGGCUCGAAAGUAUGGGUAGCAAACAGGAUUAGAUACCCUGGUAGUCCAUACCGUAAACGAUGAAUGCUAAGUGUUGGAGGGUUUCCGCCCUUCAGUGCUGCAGCUAACGCAUUAAGCAUUCCGCCUGGGGAGUACGGCCGCAAGGCUGAAACUCAAAGGAAUUGACGGGGGCCCGCACAAGCGGUGGAGCAUGUGGUUUAAUUCGAAGCUACGCGAAGAACCUUACCAGGUCUUGACAUACUAUGCAAAUCUAAGAGAUUAGACGUUCCCUUCGGGGACAUGGAUACAGGUGGUGCAUGGUUGUCGUCAGCUCGUGUCGUGAGAUGUUGGGUUAAGUCCCGCAACGAGCGCAACCCUUAUUAUCAGUUGCCAGCAUUAAGUUGGGCACUCUGGUGAGACUGCCGGUGACAAACCGGAGGAAGGUGGGGAUGACGUCAAAUCAUCAUGCCCCUUAUGACCUGGGCUACACACGUGCUACAAUGGAUGGUACAACGAGUUGCGAACUCGCGAGAGUAAGCUAAUCUCUUAAAGCCAUUCUCAGUUCGGAUUGUAGGCUGCAACUCGCCUACAUGAAGUCGGAAUCGCUAGUAAUCGCGGAUCAGCAUGCCGCGGUGAAUACGUUCCCGGGCCUUGUACACACCGCCCGUCACACCAUGAGAGUUUGUAACACCCAAAGUCGGUGGGGUAACCUUUUAGGAACCAGCCGCCUAAGGUGGGACAGAUGAUUAGGGUGAAGUCGUAACA
rnacentral:rRNA from 1 species